CUGGGGAGCCAUGCUUCGUGUUCAGCGACAGGGAGGAGAGGGAUUCCCCUCGAUAACACUACCAUGAGUGACAAGGAGCAGCUCAAAGUAUUGGCCUGCUGUGAUGCUCUGAAAUUUCGUCCUAUCAACUACCUCCUGUUGUUUCUUCAGUAUUGGCAUUGGCUGAGGAGAAAGACCAUCUCUGCUUUCAGUGAAGGGAGAGAGAUACCUAUUAUCAGAAAUAUUUGGUGAAGAGCCAUGAUGCUGGAAAUCGCUUACCUCCUGAGGUAUGACCAGGGAUGGUCAUGCAACAGGCUGCAAUGUCAGAAUCACAGGUCCUGAUUUGCA
rnacentral:lncRNA from 1 species